rnacentral:rRNA from 1 species
GAUGAACGCUGGCGGCGUGCCUAAUACAUGCAAGUCGAGCGAACAGACGAGGAGCUUGCUCCUCUGACGUUAGCGGCGGACGGGUGAGUAACACGUGGAUAACCUACCUAUAAGACUGGGAUAACUUCGGGAAACCGGAGCUAAUACCGGAUAAUAUAUUGAACCGCAUGGUUCAAUAGUGAAAGACGGUUUUGCUGUCACUUAUAGAUGGAUCCGCGCCGCAUUAGCUAGUUGGUAAGGUAACGGCUUACCAAGGCAACGAUGCGUAGCCGAGCUGAGAGGGUGAUCGGCCACACUGGAACUGAGACACGGUCCAGACUCCUACGGGAGGCAGCAGUAGGGAAUCUUCCGCAAUGGGCGAAAGCCUGACGGAGCAACGCCGCGUGAGUGAUGAAGGUCUUCGGAUCGUAAAACUCUGUUAUUAGGGAAGAACAAAUGUGUAAGUAACUAUGCACGUCUUGACGGUACCUAAUCAGAAAGCCACGGCUAACUACGUG